rnacentral:rRNA from 1 species
AUGGGGGUGCGGUGGAUCUCGGCAAGGGCCGGCGGGAGGGCUCCGUUUUUACUCGUUUCUUUCAGUUUUGCUAGGGUUUGUGUCCUGCUCAGGAAGACGAGACGGCGGCGGCUCCCUGAAGAUGGAAUAAAGGUCUCCCCGCCUAGUCCCCGUUCCGGCGGCGCGUCUAGCACCGUUGGUGGGCGUGUGGAGGUGUGUCUCCGGCGGAUCUAUCUUUGGUGGAUUUGCUCGGAUCUCGUCGUUGUUCGUCUACGUUCGCGUGUCUUCGUGUUAGAUCUUUCUGAUCUACGUUAUUCUUCAUCUGCGGCGGUUGUUGUUCUGGUGCGCUGGUCCUACAGGGCCUUAGCAUGA